GACGAACGCUGGCGGCGUGCUUAACACAUGCAAGUCGAACGCUGAGGCCCUGCUUUGGUCUUGUGCUCGAGUGGCGAACGGGUGAGUAACACGUAGGUAACCUGCCUUUUACUUGGGGAUAACUUCUGGAAACGGUGGCUAAUACCGCAUAGCAACUCCUACUGCAUGGUGGGGGUUGAAAAGGUUCGGCUGUUGGGGUUGUACGCGCGGCUUAUCUGUUUUUUGGUGGGGUAGUGGCUUACCAAGGCUUUGACGGGUAGCCGGCCUGAGAGGGUGACAGGCCACAUUGGGACUGAGAUAGCGGCAAGACUGAUACGGGAGGAAGCAGUGGGGAAUAUUGCACAAUGGGCGGAGGCAGUAUGCAGCAACGCCGCGUGCGAGAUGACGGCUUUAGGGUUGUAAACAGCUUUCGACUGUGAAGAAGAGUGAGUGACGGUAAUGGGCAAAGAAGCACCGGCUAACUACGUG
rnacentral:rRNA from 1 species